CCAAUAGCGUAUAUUAAAGUUGUUGCAGCUAAAAAGCUCGUAGUUGAAUUUCGGGGUUCUACCGUUGGUCGGGCUUUGUCUGUACUGGCGUGUAGAGUUUCUACCUUCUGGGGAACCAUCAUGUUAUUAAUUUAACGUGGUGGGAAACCAGGACCUUUACCUUGAAAAAAUUAGAGUGUUCAAAGCAGGCUUAUGUCGGAAUACAUUAGCAUGGAAUAAUAAAAUAGGACGGUGGUCCUGUUUUGUUGGUUUCUGAAUCACCGUAAUGAUUAAUAGGGAUAGUUGGGGGCAUUAGUAUUCAAUUGCCAGAGGUGAAAUUCUUGGAUUUAUUGAAGACUAACUUCUGCGAAAGCAUUUGCCAAGGAUGUUUUCAUUAAUCAAGAACGAAAGUUAGGGGAUCGAAGACGAUCAGAUACCGUCGUAGUCUUAACCAUAAACUAUGCCGACUAGGGAUCGGACGAUGUUAAUUUUUCUUGACCCGUUCGGCGCCUUACG
rnacentral:rRNA from 1 species